GACGAACGCUGGCGGCGUGCUUAACACAUGCAAGUCGAACGGAAAGGCCCUGCUUUUGUGGGGUGCUCGAGUGGCGAACGGGUGAGUAACACGUGAGUAACCUGCCCUUGACUUUGGGAUAACUUCAGGAAACUGGGGCUAAUACCGGAUAGGAGCUCCUGCUGCAUGGUGGGGGUUGGAAAGUUUCGGCGGUUGGGGAUGGACUCGCGGCUUAUCAGCUUGUUGGUGGGGUAGUGGCUUACCAAGGCUUUGACGGGUAGCCGGCCUGAGGGGGUGACCGGCCACCUUGCGACUGAGAUACGGCCCAGACUCCUACGGGAGGCAGCAGUGGGGAAUAUUGCACAAUGGGCGGAAGCCUGAUGCAGCAACGCCGCGUGCGGGAUGACGGCCUUCGGGUUGUAAACCGCUUUCGCCUGUGACGAAGCGUGAGUGACGGUAAUGGGUAAAGAAGCACCGGCUAACUACGUG
rnacentral:rRNA from 1 species